UUAACGACUCUCGGCAACGGAUAUCUCGGCUCUCGCAUCGAUGAAGAACGUAGCGAAAUGCGAUACUUGGUGUGAAUUGCAGAAUCCCGUGAACCAUCGAGUCUUUGAACGCAAGUUGCGCCAUAGACCAUUAGGUUGAGGGCACGCCUGCCUGGGCGUCACGC
rnacentral:rRNA from 1 species